rnacentral:misc_RNA from 1 species
CGACACCAUGUCAUGUCCGGCGUUUUGAGUAGCAUUAUGGCGUAUUGUUUGCCCUUUGCGGUGUAAGAUCAUCAAAAUGUGUUCGAAGAUUUUCGAGAACCAGCGACGUUUUUGUUGAUGAAGACGAAGCAGUCGAAAAAAACUGCUGUCAACAAGGACGUAGAUUUGAUAAAAAGAUUAUUUUUCAAAAUCCUUUAACCAGGCUGAAUGUAGAUGACCAGAGAACAGAAUCAGGAUGGAUCUGCAGAAAUAAUCGAUGUGAUGAUGUUGAUGGAAAUCAAUGCACUUCUAGGAUUAAUAUUUCAAGAAAUAUGCACCUUGUCGAUGAGCAGCACCCUACACCUAACAACACUGAAGAGAUCAUAACAAAAAGACAUUUUUCUUAUGUGCAAGAACUUCCGCAUCCGUCGAAAUUAAGAAAGGUUAAGGCAACUGCGAAGGUUAGCAAGAAGAGGCAGAGAGAUCUUGCUGUGGAGCAGCAUGUUCAACAGCUGCGACAUAAACAGUUGGUGUUUCCCUCGAGUUCUCCUGUGCACAGCAGCGCCACCGUCGAGAAAGCAGCUGACCUUGAGGUCAGCACGAGUGAUCAGCGACUGGCUGUCAGACUUCCUUCUCAUUUUGAUCUUCCUGCCGCGGAGACAGCUGCUACAUCCCUGGAGAUGACACCCGCGGGAGAUAGCCAGGAGACGCUUCCGGAUGCAGGGGGACGAACAUGUAGCAAGAGCGACGAGGAAGACGAUGAGUGGCUGAAAGAGCGCUGGAAGGCCCUGCCUUACGUAGGCAAACAACACGAGGAAUAGUUU